rnacentral:tRNA from 1 species
GGAAGUGGAUAGGAUCUGGUGGUCCUUGCGGACUUCAAAUCCGUCAAACCCAAUUUUAUUGGGUUGGCAGGUUCGAUUCCUGCCCCUUCC